AACGCUAGCUACAGGCUUAACACAUGCAAGUCGAGGGGAAACGACAUCGAAAGCUUGCUUUUGAUGGGCGUCGACCGGCGCACGGGUGAGUAACGCGUAUCCAACCUGCCCACCACUUGGGGAUAACCUUGCGAAAGUAAGACUAAUACCCGAUGAUAUCCCUAGACGACAUCUGAAAGGGAUUAAAGAUUUAUCGGUGAUGGAUGGGGAUGCGUCUGAUUAGCUUGUUGGCGGGGUAACGGCCCACCAAGGCAACGAUCAGUAGGGGUUCUGAGAGGAAGGUCCCCCACAUUGGAACUGAGACACGGUCCAAACUCCUACGGGAGGCAGCAGUGAGGAAUAUUGGUCAAUGGGCGAGAGCCUGAACCAGCCAAGUAGCGUGCAGGAUGACGGCCCUAUGGGUUGUAAACUGCUUUUAUAAGGGAAUAAAGUGAGUCUCGUGAGACUUUUUGCAUGUACCUUAUGAAUAAGGACCGGCUAAUUCCGUGCCAGCAGCCGCGGUAAUACGGAAGGUCCGGGCGUUAUCCGGAUUUAUUGGGUUUAAAGGGAGCGUAGGCCGGAGAUUAAGCGUGUUGUGAAAUGUAGACGCUCAACGUCUGCACUGCAGCGCGAACUGGUUUCCUUGAGUACGCACAAAGUGGGCGGAAUUCGUGGUGUAGCGGUGAAAUGCUUAGAUAUC
rnacentral:rRNA from 1 species